rnacentral:misc_RNA from 1 species
UUUCCGUAGGUGAACCUGCGGAAGGAUCAUUACUGAGUGAGGGCCCUCUGGGUCCAACCUCCCACCCGUGUUUAUUAUACCUUGUUGCUUCGGUGAGCCCGCCUCACGGUCGCCGGGGGGCAUCUGCCCCCGGGCCCGCGCCCACCGAAGACACCUAGAACUCUGUAUGAAGAUUGCAGUCUGAGCAAAAACUAAAUAAGUUAAAACUUUCAACAACGGAUCUCUUGGUUCCG